CCUACGGGUGGCAGCAGUGGGGAAUAUUGGACAAUGGGCGAAAGCCUGAUCCAGCAAUGCCGCGUGAGUGAUGAAGGCCUUAGGGUUGUAAAGCUCUUUUACCCGGGAUGAUAAUGACAGUACCGGGAGAAUAAGCCCCGGCUAACUCCGUGCCAGCAGCCGCGGUAAUACGGAGGGGGCUAGCGUUGUUCGGAAUUACUGGGCGUAAAGCGCACGUAGGCGGCUUUGUAAGUUAGAGGUGAAAGCCCAGGGCUCAACCCUGGAAUUGCCUUUAAGACUGCAUCGCUUGAACAUCGGAGAGGUAAGUGGAAUUCCGAGUGUAGAGGUGAAAUUCGUAGAUAUUCGGAAGAACACCAGUGGCGAAGGCGACUUACUGGACGAUUGUUGACGCUGAGGUGCGAAAGCGUGGGGAGCAAACAGGAUUAGAUACCCUAGUAGUC
rnacentral:rRNA from 1 species